rnacentral:rRNA from 1 species
GGUGAACGCUAGCUACAGGCUUAACACAUGCAAGUCGAGGGGUAACGAGAGGAAAGCUUGCUUUCCUUGUCGACGACCGGCGCACGGGUGAGUAACGCGUAUCCAACCUGCACCCAACUAGGGAAUAACCUUGCGAAAGUAAGACUAAUACCCUAUAAUUUCCUCAGAUGUCAUCUGACGAGGAAUAAAGAUUUAUCGGUUGUGGAUGGGGAUGCGUCUGAUUAGCUUGUUGGCGGGGUAACGGCCCACCAAGGCAACGAUCAGUAGGGGUUCUGAGAGGAAGGUCCCCCACAUUGGAACUGAGACACGGUCCAAACUCCUACGGGAGGCAGCAGUGAGGAAUAUUGGUCAAUGGGCGGAAGCCUGAACCAGCCAAGUAGCGUGCAGGAUGACGGCCCUAUGGGUUGUAAACUGCUUUUAUACAGGAAUAAAGUUAGCCACGUGUGGUUAUUUGUAGGUACUGUAUGAAUAAGGACCGGCUAAUUCCGUGCCAGCAGCCGCAGUAA